AUUGCAGAGCCAAAGCCAAGGUGAAGAUGCUUAUGUGACAGCAUUCACAAUGUUCCCUGAUAAGUUCUCUACUCUCCCAGAAAACUGGGCUCAGAGAGGAAAAAGUGUAACCAGAGUCUCAGGUGUCAUUUUGUUUGUACUAUAUCCGGUUUCAACCACCACAGUCAUCAUGUGCAUACAUUUUGUUGAAAACAAUGGAAAAUACAGAAAUAUGUGUGCAGCAUUCUCAAAAGAAGCCAGUCUCAGUGAAGAAUUAUGGG